rnacentral:rRNA from 1 species
GGGGAAUAUUGCACAAUGGGGGAAACCCUGAUGCAGCGACGCCGCGUGGAGGAAGAAGGUUUUCGGAUUGUAAACUCCUGUUGUUGAGGAAGAUAAUGACGGUACUCAACAAGGAAGUGACGGCUAACUACGUGCCAGCAGCCGCGGUAAAACGUAGGUCACAAGCGUUGUCCGGAAUUACUGGGUGUAAAGGGAGCGCAGGCGGGAAGACAAGUUGGAAGUGAAAUCUAUGGGCUCAACCCAUAAACUGCUUUCAAAACUGUUUUUCUUGAGUAGUGCAGAGGUAGGCGGAAUUCCCGGUGUAGCGGUGGAAUGCGUAGAUAUCGGGAGGAACACCAGUGGCGAAGGCGGCCUACUGGGCACCAACUGACGCUGAGGCUCGAAAGUGUGGGUAGCAAACAGGAUUAGAUACCCUGGUAGUCCACACCGUAAACGAUGAUUACUAGGUGUUGGAGGAUUGACCCCUUCAGUGCCGCAGUUAACACAAUAAGUAAUCCACCUGGGGAGUACGACCGCAAGGUUGAAACUCAAAGGAAUUGACGGGGGCCCGCACAAGCAGUGGAGUAUGUGGUUUAAUUCGACGCAACGCGAAGAACCUUACCAAGUCUUGACAUCCUGCGACGAUGCUGGAAACAGUAUUUUCCUUCGGGACGCAGAGACAGGUGGUGCAUGGUUGUCGUCAGCUCGUGCCGUGAGAUGUUGGGUUAAGUCCCGCAACGAGCGCAACCCUUACUGUCAGUUACUACGCAAGAGGACUCUGGCAGGACUGCCGUUGACAAAACGGAGGAAGGUGGGGAUGACGUCAAAUCAUCAUGCCCUUUAUGACCUGGGCUACACACGUACUACAAUGGCGUUAAACAAAGAGAAGCAAGACCGCGAGGUGGAGCAAAACUCAGAAACAACGUCCCAGUUCGGACUGCAGGCUGCAACUCGCCUGCACGAAGUCGGAAUUGCUAGUAAUCGUGGAUCAGCAUGCCACGGUGAAUACGUUCCCG